CGGAAUGAAGCUUACGAGAAUG
rnacentral:miRNA from 1 species